GGUGAUGUCAGGAAUCUCAAAGGGUUCGCCUCGGGUUUCGGAAAAAUUCGAGGCGGGUCCUUUCACCUAGGGAGGUAACCCAACUUCUGUGAUUGGUGAUCCCAUGAAGGAAGUUCAAUGGGUAGAAACAAUCCAUAAUGCGUGACUCAUUGAGCACUGUUUAUAUCAUGUGGAGGCAUCCCAGAGAUGUCCUCAUGCUC
rnacentral:lncRNA from 1 species